rnacentral:rRNA from 1 species
CGUAGAUAUAUGGAAGAACACCAGUGGCGAAGGCGGCUGUCUGGUCUGCAACUGACGCUGAGGCUCGAAAGCAUGGGUAGCGAACAGGAUUAGAUACCCUGGUAGUCCAUGCCGUAAACGAUGAGUGCUAGGUGUUGGAGGGUUUCCGCCCUUCAGUGCCGCAGCUAACGCAUUAAGCACUCCGCCUGGGGAGUACGACCGCAAGGUUGAAACUCAAAGGAAUUGACGGGGGCCCGCACAAGCGGUGGAGCAUGUGGUUUAAUUCGAAGCUACGCGAAGAACCUUACCAGGUCUUGACAUCUUGCGCCAACCCUAGAGAUAGGGCGUUUCCUUCGGGAACGCAAUGACAGGUGGUGCAUGGUCGUCGUCAGCUCGUGUCGUGAGAUGUUGGGUUAAGUCCCGCAACGAGCGCAACCCUUGUUACUAGUUGCCAGCAUUCAGUUGGGCACUCUAGUGAGACUGCCGGUGACAAACCGGAGGAAGGUGGGGACGACGUCAGAUCAUCAUGCCCCUUAUGACCUGGGCUACACACGUGCUACAAUGGACGGUACAACGAGUCGCGAACUCGCGAGGGCAAGCUAAUCUCUUAAAACCGUUCUCAGUUCGGACUGCAGGCUGCAACUCGCCUGCACGAAGUCGGAAUCGCUAGUAAUCGCGGAUCAGCAUGCCGCGGUGAAUACGUUCCCGGGCCUUGUACACACCGCCCGUCACACCAUGAGAGUUUGCAACACCCAAAGUCGGUGGGGUAACCCUUCGGGGAGCUAGCCGCCUAAGGUGGGGCAGAUGAUUA